rnacentral:lncRNA from 1 species
AUACCAAAUGUGGCCGAAUGGAGGCACGCUGCCUGCUGCUUCGGGGAGGGGGAUGCUUGAUUUCGAAGGAGAGGGACAGCCUGCACAAAACAGCCUGUGGUCGGAGUCAGAGGAGCCUGCUCCAGAAUGCGCGCUCCCUCUCCUGCUCUCCUCCUGCAAACACAGAUAGGAGAAGCCACUACAGAGAACCAGCGGGUAAAUACACACACCUGACAUUCCUGACAGCGUCCUCCACCCCUGCAACUGAAAGGCAACCACACAUCUAGAAAUAAGCUAUGAAACUAAUAUAUAAAAAAUGUGUUGCAUUGAAAAAUUAAAAGAUAUGCAAACAUCUUGUAUCUCACUAAAAAUAAAAACCACACAUGCUAAAUGGGACGUAUAU